CUUUGACUAUUCAAGUGUUGGUUAGGUGCUUGACCGAUUCAAAUAUAAAGAUAACAAGUGAUAAAGAUAAACUUAUCAUUCAAAUUCAAAUAAAAAAUUGGAAUGGGUUAUCAGCUACCCGGCUACACUUAUCCAACUACUGCUAUAUAAGGAGGCUGGGGGCAGACGCAAAAGGGGGAGGAACUGUGAGCUAGAGAGCAGAAGCAACAAAAGGAAAAAAAAAAUAGAGAGAGCAGAGGGAAAAAAAAACCCAGGAGCAGAGAAAGAAGAGGAAGGGAAGAAGAGAAGAAUAAUUCGAAGCUAAGAAGAGACCACGAGAAGCUCCAAACAUAGAGCAGUGGGUAUAAUUUCUUCUAUAUGCUGUCAAUUAUCAUUUUCACUCAAGUGUUCUCUUUUUGUUCUACAUUAUAUGAUUACAGAAAGGUAAAUAGGUGAUCAUGUAAGACUAUGAGCACUCCAAACAAGAAGUUGAUGGUCUAUCACUCUAUCUCUAUCCUCUCUCCAAGAGUCCCUCGUUGCUGUCAUCCUCACAAAUCUCACCAACGGCUUCCGGGCAAGACACAAAGUCGACAUCAAGCCCUCAUUCACAGCCGUGAUGUCACUCCAUACUGCACUUGCUUUCGAUGCCUAUACUGCGGUGCGUCCUGCAUAUAGGUGGCGGAAGCAAGCUUCAAGUUCAAGGGGGUUCACCAUACUUGUUUUUGAUGCCUGUAUUGCGGUGCGUCCUGCAUAU